rnacentral:lncRNA from 1 species
AUGGUGGCAGUUAAAGGACAAGCGGAGCGAGAAGCCCAGCGGAACAGAGCGUGCAGCCUGUGGGAGAGCGGAGCCCGGUGGAGGGAGACAGAACCCUUUCCACCCGGGAGAGAGGGCGAGAGGGCGGCCAGGUCGGGCGGGGAGUGGCCGCGUGUCAGCCCCGGUGCUUGCUUCCACAGGCCUCGGCAAAGGGGAGAUGGGCACCCACGGCCUCUUCCUUGCAUGCUGGGUCCCCCAUCCCGUUGUUUCUCCGUCUUUCUCUGUUUAUCCUUCUUCUUCCCAUCUUCAGGUGACCUGCGUCCAUGGAGUCUUCAGCUCUCUCCUCUAGCCCCAUCUCCCUUCCAUUUCCUCCAUCCCUUUCCCUCUUUUGACUCACAGGUUACCUCCUGGAGCCUCUGCCCGACUCCCCGGCCUUUGUCUUCUCCCUGCCAGAGGAGCCUGUGCUGUCUCAGGUGGCAGAAGAGCGGCUCAGCUUCUGUCCUGGGGGCACUGCCACGGGCUCACGCGUCGUGGCAGCUCGUGGCAUGAUGUUGAGCGGUUUCCACCCAUGAUCCACACAACCCCACUACUCGAACAUGACCCUCUGAGGAAGGCCCCCUCAUCAUUGCCACUUAAAAGAUGCGAACCUUGACAUAAAGAAGGAGAAAGGUAAAGGAAUCGCCCCGGGUUGAUAACAGUUAGAAGCUGGAGGGGCCCCCAAGGGGCAGCUCUGCGACGUGGUCGGGGCACCACAAACUGAGGGUCCCGAUUACUCCUACCCGGAAGGACGGUUAGGGGAGUUACAUGAGUGGAAUCUGAAGGGCGCAGCGCGGUAUCUAUCACCAGAUGACGAGGGUGGCCUCCAACCCCGCGCUGGCCUCAUUCUCGAGCUCCUGAUUGCAGAGGCAGUUUUCAGAGGGCGUUCUUUAUCAUCCUGAUGCGAGGGCUGGAUCACGGUAGAGUGGAAAAUCACCAGACCUAGACUUGGCUUUGCCUCUUACCGAAUGUGCAUGAGUUACACCGGCUUUUGCAGCCUCUGUUUCCUUAUCUAAGCAGAAUAGGGGUCCCAAUGUCCCCCCGGUUUUCUCUGGGAAAAGUGGGGGUAAUCAAUCACGAUUGAUUAGAGGAGGAUCCGAUGACGCAACAUCUGGGAGAGUUCUUCGUCAGUGGAGCCAGCCUCGGGAACGUACUCCCGGCGGGGGCACGGGCGCCCCGGGCUCCGGCCGCCGCGGAGCUUGCCCUCUUCCCGGCUGCGCCUCGGGCUGGGAGCCCCGUGUGACCUCUGGAGGGCAGGCGGCACGCUGCCCUGGAGGACCCACGGCCUGGAUUUGCGGGCAACAGGGGGGCGUUGGAGAACUGCAGGGAGGAAGCAGGCCCGGCUGCUCCGGGGGCAGGGGCCGGGAGGUGCAGCUGUGAGCAGGAGGCCAGAGGGGCGCGGCAGGUGGGACGGAGUCCCAGAAGCCCCUCCAGGCCGGCGUCCCAGCGCGGGGG